GGCCUGGUAGCCAAGCAGAAAGGCAGGGGUCUGCAAAACCCCUAUGCGCGGGUGCAAUUCCCGCCCAGGCCU
rnacentral:tRNA from 1 species